CCUAGGGGCCUCACACGGGAGCGAUCCCCACAGAACUCUCAACUGCUCUGGAGGAGAGUCAAGCUUUCGGUGGCCAUGUCCUGUUGCUGGUCACUUUCAUAAUGCUGUCCAUCCUUCCCUGGAAGAUCUCCAUGGUGAGCUCUUGUUUCCAAAGGAUCAUCAGAUGCUUCAUUAUUUCUGUCAUCAGCAAAUCUGAAGUUUUCCUGGACCAUUUUCAUCAACAUGACACAACGGAAGUGGGAGUGGACCGCUGGUCACCAUCCACACAGUGCUGCUUGAGUUAAUUGAUAAACCUAGUCUCUUUAUUAUCAGUGCUGGCCUUCUGUCUGCAGCCACACAGCCUAUUGCCCCUCCAAGGCACUGAGAAUUCCUUGUGGAAUUCUAGCAGAUAUUGGAAAUUGCAGUGGCAAAUUAGCAGGGGCCACAAACCAGAAGUGACAGCUCCAGUACCCUGAUGGAGGGAAUGUAGCAAUCCCUUGCCCACAGCAAUUGGCCAGGCUUAUCAUAUGGACUAAUCACAACAGAUCUGGGGAAAUAAUGGGCACCAGAUGUUAUCGCUUUGUAGGCUGGAGCUCUCCAGAGACAACAGUCAUGAUAGAAAAGAUCCCCCAAAACAGGAACAUGAUUCUGUCGCUUAUUAAUCAAGUAGGAGGCUGGGUGUGACCGUCUACUCCUUCCUCAGCACCAU
rnacentral:lncRNA from 13 species